UCAAUUAAGGUUUCAGAGCUACAA
rnacentral:snRNA from 1 species